rnacentral:rRNA from 1 species
GACGAACGCUGGCGGCGUGCCUAAUACAUGCAAGUAGAACGCACAGUUUAUACCGUAGCUUGCUACACCAUAGACUGUGAGUUGCGAACGGGUGAGUAACGCGUAGGUAACCUGCCUGGUAGCGGGGGAUAACUAUUGGAAACGAUAGCUAAUACCGCAUAAUAUUAAUUAUUGCAUGAUAAUUAAUUGAAAGGUGCAAUUGCACCACUACCAGAUGGACCUGCGUUGUAUUAGCUAGUAGGUGAGGUAACGGCUCACCUAGGCGACGAUACAUAGCCGACCUGAGAGGGUGAUCGGCCACACUGGGACUGAGACACGGCCCAGACUCCUACGGGAGGCAGCAGUAGGGAAUCUUCGGCAAUGGACGUAAGUCUGACCGAGCAACGCCGCGUGAGUGAAGAAGGUUUUCGGAUCGUAAAGCUCUGUUGUAAGAGAAGAACGGGUGUGAGAGUGGAAAGUUCACACUGUGACGGUAUCUUACCAGAAAGGGACGGCUAACUACGUG